AUUCAGUUCUUACCAGGCAUCUGUUUAAGCAGAACAGAUGUCCCUCGCACCGUUCUAUAAACUUAUAAAAGCAACACUCCUCAUAAACUCAAGCAUGGGCAGUUCAGACAAAUUGCAUUUAACAAGGAACAACACUGGCUUUUGACACUUUAUUUCACUAUGGAAACAUGACAAAGCUCCCUCAUCCAUAUCUCAUUUCCACCUGCAUUUGUUGCCUCGUGAAUUGGAGAUAAACCCCUGCUUUUAAACACACAGACCUGGAUUCUGAAAAUCAUUUACUCCAAAUUGUCAUUAGCAGAAAUGCAAGUGUUUGUCCCCCUACAUGCUGUCAGAGAGGAGGCUCAUUGCGUUGAUCACACCCCCGGUUUUGUGGAGGGCUCUGACGGCCACAUUGCGUUCCACUGACAGCUGGGUCAUCAGUACUUCAAUAUCCCGCUGGUCCAAACCACCCUCGCCCUCCGCCUGCCUCCCGAAAGCAUGAAACACGGCGCUUUCCUUCAGAAAGUCCACAACGUUGCCCCUGCGCACCAGUUUCCCUUUGGAGACUAGCCUCAUCUUCUCCGCGGGUACCCGCAGCUGCCUUGAAAUCAGUCCAUAGCCCAGUGGUGCCUUCGGGGAGCUGCAGUGUGUGGUUUAGCGUGUUGUGCUUCACUUUAAUGGUAACGGAGCAGCCUAGGACCUUCGCGGCACCCCUGUCAUCAUCGCCCUGCCGUGCAAGCCCUGCUGAAGAGCCGCACCGAGCGGAGCUGCUGCCCGGCGGCGCUUUAACAAUGGGAUCGCCGCACACUCUCUGUGAAGAGGCCAGUGCUUCAGCUGACAGUCUUUAGAGCUAUAUAGAGAGAAAAAUAAAAUAGAUUAAAAACAAAUAAAAACCAAUAGCUGCUGAGUCUAUUAUUUUUAAACAGUACAAUGUUAAAGGCACUGUCUAUGAUUACACUGAAUAUUAUUUAUCACGACUGAAAUAUGAAAUAUUGGAAGGCACGGUGCAUUUUUGUCAGCAUGUUUACCAGUAGCAUCUUUUUGUCAAAUUCAAUAAUGUACUAUGUGUAAUCUUUCUUUACGUGUUUAUUUAUUAUAAUAAAAGAAAAGCACGUAUACAACAUGGAUAUACUUAAAUGAAACCGCUCUGUUCAGAUCGAUUCCUACUAUGCGGGGAUCAAUAAAUAAAGAGCGUCGCCGGGUUUCUCGUCUUAUUUGAAAUAUUUCAGGUUUCAUUUUAAAUCUCCCAGCGCACACUCCUUCCAUGCAGUAGUAAAAACAGAC